GACGAACGCUGGCGGCGUGCUUAACACAUGCAAGUCGAACGGAAAGGCCCUGCUUUUGUGGGGUGCUCGAGUGGCGAACGGGUGAGUAACACGUGAGUAACCUGCCCUUGACUUUGGGAUAACUUCAGGAAACUGGGGCUAAUACCGGAUAGGAGCUCCUGCUGCAUGGUGGGGGUUGGAAAGUUUCGGCGGUUGGGGAUGGACUCGCGGCUUAUCAGCUUGUUGGUGGGGUAGUGGCUUACCAAGGCUUUGACGGGUAGCCGGCCUGAGAAGGUGACCGGCCACAUUGGGACUGAGCUACGGCCCAGACUUCUACGGGAGGCAGCAGUGGGGAAUAUUGCACAAUGGGCGGAAGCCUGAUGCAGCAACGCCGCGUGCGGGAUGACGGCCUUCGGGGUGUAAACCGCUUUCGCCUGUGACGAAGCGUGAGUGACGGUAAUGGGUAAAGAAGCACCGGCUAACUACGUG
rnacentral:rRNA from 1 species